UUGUCACAAAACCUGAAUCUUACAUUCUGCCGUCAGGCUCUAUCCCCUGCCGCCUUCUCCCCGACCGCCUCUAUCCCCUGCCGCCGCCUCCCCUGCCGCAUCCUCCCCUGCGGCCUCUAAGCCCUGCUGGUCCUGGCCUGCCACCUACUCCCCUCCCGUCUCAUCCCCUGCUGCUUCCGUCCCCUGCCACCUUCUCCCCUGCCGCCUCCGCCCCUGCCACAUUCUCCCCUGCCGCCUCUAUCCCCUGCCGCUUCCUACCCCGCCGCCUCUAUCCCCUGCUGCCUCUAUCCCCUGCCGCCUCUAUCCCCUGCCACCUUCUCCCCCUCCGCCUCUAUCCCCUGCCGUGUCAUCCCCUGCUGUCUCUUCCCCUUCCUCCUUCUACCCUGCCGCCUUCUACCCUGCCAUCUCUAUCCCCUGCCAUCUUCCCCCCCUCCGCCUCUAUCCCCUGCCGCCUCCUCCCCUGCCGCCUCUAUCCCCUGCCGCCUCUAUCCCCUGCUGCCUCUAUACGGAUCAUCCCCUGCCGCCUUCUCCCCUGCCGCCUUCUCCCCUGCCGCCUUCUCCCUUGCCGCCUCCGCCUCUGACACCUCCUCCCCUGCCGCCUUCUCCCCUGCUGCGUCUUUGCCCUGCAACCUUCUCCCCCUCUGCCUCUAUCCCCUGCCACCUUCUCCCCUGCCACCUCUAUCCCUUACCGCCUCUGCCCCUGCCGCCUCCAUCCCCUGCCUGCUCCUCCUCUACCGCCUCCUUCCCUGCCGCCUCUAUCCCCUGCCGCCUCUAUCCCUCAGCCCUCAGGCAGAAAGGAGAGCAAGAAGAAAGAGCGAAGCACUGACUCUUACUUUCUUCGAGGACAUGUUUCUGCCUUUCUGCUAUUUGCUCUCACGUUCUUCAGGAAUAUCUUUUACUUGCUCUCACUUUCUUCUCUCACAUAUGUGUCUUUUACUUGCUUGAACAGGCGACUUGUCACAAAAUCUGAAUCUUACUUUAAGCCGAAAACGAGAUUACUCGCGUGGGAUUUGAACCGGCGAAAAUGUCAUCGUUGUGUUAAUUAUGUGUCCGUCAUCCAAAAAAGCCCGAGUUUUCCGUUGGACAUUGGACUUGCGAACCACACAAACGCACGCACGCACGAAUGGGGGUUCUAGCCGUAGCCCUCAGAAAGGAGAGCACAAGUUGGGUGUCGGUUAGGUCUUGAAGCGCCAGCGGCUACAGGAAAGCACCCCACUGCCGCAUGGCUUUGUAAUAAUUAAACACACAAGUCGGGUGUCGGCUUCCUCGAAGCCGGAAAAAGGGUGGGCCCCCCCUGCAUCCGUACAGGCCGGUAGCUAGCGCGGCACGUGUGACAAUUGAUGGGUAGUGUCAACGCGGUGGGAGAUGUGCUUUGUUGCAGCAGUGCUGAUGGUGUGGGAGCUAAGCUUGCAC
rnacentral:lncRNA from 1 species